UUUUCCUACGGGACGCAGCAGUGGGGGAUAUUGCACAAUGGGGGGAACCCUGAUGCAGCGACGCCGCGUGGGUGAAGAAGCGCCUCGGCGCGUAAAGCCCUGUCAGCAGGGAAGAAAAUGACGGUACCUGAAGAAGAAGCCCCGGCUAACUACGUGCCAGCAGCCGCGGUAAUACGUAGGUGGCAAGCGUUGUCCGGAAUUACUGGGUGUAAAGGGAGCGCAGGCGGGAAGCCAAGUCAGCUGUGAAAACUACGGGCUUAGCUUGUAGACUGCAGUUGAAACUGGUUUUCUUGAGUGAAGUAGGG
rnacentral:rRNA from 1 species